UACGUAGGGGGCAAGCGUUGUCCGGAUUUACUGGGCGUAAAGAGCGUGUAGGCGGCCAAGCAGGUCCGUUGUGAAAACUGGAGGCUUAACCUCCAGACGUCGACGGAAACCGCGUGGCUAGAGUCCGGAAGAGGAGAGUGGAAUUCCUGGUGUAGCGGUGAAAUGCGCAGAUAUCGGGAGGAACACCUAUGGCGAAGGCAGCUCGCUGGGACGUUACUGACGCUGAGGAGCGAAAGCGUGGGGAGCGAACAGG
rnacentral:rRNA from 1 species